AGUAGUGGCGAUAGCACGUUGAAUACACAACUUCCCGAUGGUUCACUGAAGUUAAGCUACAUUGACAGUGGUUGGUAUAUGUAUGGGUGACCAUCUGGGCAAUCACGAGCUGUUACUG
rnacentral:rRNA from 1 species